rnacentral:rRNA from 1 species
UAGCGGCGGACGGGUGAGUAACGCGUGAGUAAUCUGCCUUAAACAGGGGGAUAACACAGGGAAACUUGUGCUAAUACCGCAUAAAGUAGCGAAAUGGCAUCAUUUUGUUACCAAAGGAGUAAUCCGGUUUGAGAUGAACUCGCGUCCGAUUAGCUAGUUGGUGGGGUAGUGGCCUACCAAGGCGACGAUCGGUAGCCGAACUGAGAGGUUGAUCGGCCACAUUGGGACUGAGACACGGCCCAGACUCCUACGGGAGGCAGCAGUGGGGAAUAUUGCGCAAUGGGGGAAACCCUGACGCAGCAACGCCGCGUGAAGGAUGAAGGUUUUCGGAUUGUAAACUUCUUUGAUGGGGGACGAAUAAAUGACGGUACCCCAAAAACAAGCCACGGCUAACUACGUGCCAGCAGCCGCGGUAAUACGUAGGUGGCGAGCGUUGUCCGGAAUUACUGGGUGUAAAGGGCGUGUAGGCGGGAUUGUAAGUCAGAUGUGAAAUUCCAGAGCUUAACUCUGGCGCUGCAUCUGAAACUGCGAUUCUUGAGUGCUGGAGAGGAUAGUGGAAUUCCUAGUGUAGCGGUGAAAUGCGUAGAUAUUAGGAGGAACACCAGUGGCGAAGGCGGCUAUCUGGACAGUAACUGACGCUGAGGCGCGAAAGCGUGGGGAGCAAACAGGAUUAGAUACCCUGGUAGUCCACGCUGUAAACGAUGAAUACUAGGUGUAGGAGGUAUCGACCCCUUCUGUGCCGGAGUUAACACAAUAAGUAUUCCACCUGGGGAGUACGGCCGCAAGGUUGAAACUCAAAGGAAUUGACGGGGGCCCGCACAAGCAGUGGAGUAUGUGGUUUAAUUCGACGCAACGCGAAGAACCUUACCAGGGCUUGACAUACCAUUGACCGUACUAGAGAUAGUACUUUCCUUCGGGACAAUGGAUACAGGUGGUGCAUGGUUGUCGUCAGCUCGUGUCGUGAGAUGUUGGGUUAAGUCCCGCAACGAGCGCAACCCUUGUUUUUAGUUGCCAGCAUGUAAUGAUGGGCACUCUAGAGAGACUGCCGGUGAUAAAUCGGAGGAAGGUGGGGACGACGUCAAAUCAUCAUGCCCCUUAUGUCCUGGGCUACACACGUACUACAAUGGCUAUAACAACGUGACGCAAAACCGUAAGGUCAAGCAAAUCACUGAAAAAUAGUCUCAGUUCGGAUUGUGGGCUGAAACCCGCCCACAUGAAGUCGGAAUUGCUAGUAAUGGCAGGUCAGCAUACUGCCGUGAAUACGUUCCCGGGCCUUGUACACACCGCCCGUCACACCAUGAGAGUCUGUAACACCCGAAGUCAGUAGACUAACCGUAAGGAGGUCGCUGCCGAAGGUGGGACCGAUGAUUGGGGUGAAGUCGUAACAAGGUA